rnacentral:lncRNA from 1 species
UCUCUCUCUCUCUCUCUCUCUCUCUCUCCCUACUUCUCAUGAGGAGACUUUUGCCUGAAGUUCUCCCUCCCACUAUUACUGGCCAGAGGUGGUUGCAUAACUGCUCACAAAUUACGCAUAUGAGAAAAUAACAACAUUCCCAAUAUUGAUUAAGAUAAUCAGCUUAAACUCCCCAAAGCUGGACCUGACAUUGUUCCCAUGAAGCCUAUUAUCAUGUGGUGAAUGGUGGGAUCUAAAAUAAAGUCUGAGGUCUCUUAGAACGGGAAAUAGAGAGGAAUUUUAGUUUGACUAAUCAAUGUUUAUUCUAAUUAUUAUCUCUCUCCCAUACCGCCUAUAGUGUUUUGGAAAUAUUUCCAGUUGAGCAGCAUUCUUGUGGUAUUAUGUUUCUACAUAUUUACCUCUCGCCUAUCUCCCUCUAGCUUCAAGAUGACCAAAUGGCCCACUCAAUAGCUAUAAGGACGAGAGCUAUACUGGACACAUCAGACAAAAAAAUAUCUUUAGUUACGUUCCUUGUUUCCCCCUGGAUAGUGUGGAUAUAAAAACUGUGUCUCGAGCUUGUUUCCAUAGCAGAUACUACUGUGAAGCUUCACACUCGCCUUGUGUCCUUGGCCCCUGUUAAUUCUGCGCACUGGCCCACACCUGUGAAGAUGAUGCGAGCCAAGGCCCUGUAAGUCCUCCGAGUACGGAUGAAUCCUCCAUUCAUUCUGCUUUCCACUCGGAGAAUGACGGACAGAGGGCAUGAACACAAUCAGAGGACAAGUAGACGGGUGUUUCCAGGAGCCAAUGAAAUAUUUUAUUUAUUUCAAUGGGAAAUCAAGCCAGCUGGCUCUUACAUGAAGCUAUCCCCUGGAAUUCACAAAUGCCACUUUCUUCUCCAUCGUGGAAGAAAAGAUACGUUGUAGUUUGGAACAAAGGUGAAACAAAAAAAUCCAAAAUUCCUGAAAAACGGGAUCGACAAAUUUUAGCGGCUGCCCUAACUCCAUGC